AGCAGCCGCGGUAAUUCCAGCUCCAAUAGCGUAUAUUAAAGUUGUUGCAGUUAAAAAGCUCGUAGUUGAAUUUCGGGGGUUAGUAGGUUGGUCAUGCCUCUGGUAUGUACUGGUCUCACUGAUUCCUCCUUCCUGAUGAGCCGUAAUGCCAUUAAUUUGGUGUUGCGGGGAAUUUGGACUGUUACUUUGAAAAAAUUGAGUGUUUAAAGCAAGCUAACGCUUGAAUACAUUAGCAUGGAAUAAUGAAAUAGGACGUUCGAUCCUAUUUUGUUGGUUUCUAGGAUUGACGUAAUGAUUAAUAGGGAUAGUUGGGGGCAUUAGUAUUCAAUUGCCAGAGGUGAAAUUCUUGGAUUUAUUGAAGACUAACUACUGCGAAAGCAUUUGC
rnacentral:rRNA from 1 species